CUGCUCGCUUCAGCAGCACAUAUACAAAAACUGGAACGAGACAAAGAAGAUUAGCAUGCCCCCUGUGCAAGCAUGACACGCAAAUUCGCGAAGCGUUCCAUAUUAAA